CCCCCCCCCUUUUUUAAAAUGGCUGGAUCCGCCCCUGGACAAAACUCUUUUAACAGUACUAAACUAAUACAUUAUGCAUCAGUGCUGUCAGUAUUGAAUCCAAAGUAUGAAAUGUAAUUAUAAACAUAAUUCCAUGUAAAGAGCAGUUGAUACUGAAAUUAAGUUAACUACACUUAUACUAUACUGUAAAUUAUGUAUUUCCAGCCUUUUCAUAUAUCGGUACACUAAUGAUUUUUCUUAUAUAUGUGUCAGAGCACUCUUUUGACAAGCUGUAAUCAUAAAAUAAAAGUACACAUGUAGCAUUCAAUUGACUCAGAUCCUAUUUGGAUUUUCAAAUAAAACAUGCUAUAUCGAAAUUACUUUUAACAUAUUUUACUUUUAAAUGUAUAGCACGUUCGUUAAUUUAGAUCUGUCCGUACGUCAAUCCAUCCAUCCGUUCGUUUGUUUCUGUCCGGACAUGUACGUCUAGCUAUCUCCUUCAGUUUUUGACCUAAAAAGUUUUUUUUAUUUAUAAUAGAGGUGUGUAUGUCUACAGGGUUUUGAUUUUUUUUAAUAAAAUUUUCUUCAAAUGUCCGGUAUUUUGACACAUUAACUUUUUGGUACAAGCUAUAUAUAUAUAAAGAGUCGGUUAUUCUCCUACAGUUUUUGAGAUACAGCUUUAAUACCUAUUAGGUUUAUUGUACAAAUAGUUAAAGCAUGCAUUGCCACCGGAUUUUUGUUAUUCUUCGAAUAUUCUAAAAAUGUCAGGCUUUGGGUUUGGUCAAUAUUUCUUGCUACUUUAGACACAAUUAGGGUAGUUGUUGAAUAUUCACCAAAAACGGUAGUUGAACUUCUUUUCCCUCUCACAUGCUAUAUAUAUUAUUGAAGGCACAAAUUGCACUACUAGUUCUACAGUUUAAUGUCCCUAAUGCAAUCAAGAAAAUUUUGUUUAGUAAUUUCAAAUAUUUAUUCAAUACCGGAAAAGUUGAACAUGGUGACUACUACAGCCGAU
rnacentral:lncRNA from 1 species